UACGGGGGGAGCAAGCGUUGUUCGGAUUUACUGGGCGUAAAGGGCGCGUAGGCGGCCAGCACAAGUCAGUUGUGAAAUCUCCGAGCUUAACUCGGAAAGGUCAACUGAUACUGUGCGGCUAGGGUGCGGAAGGGGCAACUGGAAUUCUCGGUGUAGCGGUGAAAUGCGUAGAUAUCGAGAGGAACACCUGCGGCGAAGGCGGGUUGCUGGGCUGACACUGACGCUGAUGCGCGAAAGCUAGGGGAGCGAACGGG
rnacentral:rRNA from 1 species